rnacentral:rRNA from 1 species
AUUGAACGCUGGCGGCAUGCCUUACACAUGCAAGUCGAACGGCAGCACGGGUGCUUGCACCUGGUGGCGAGUGGCGAACGGGUGAGUAAUACAUCGGAACAUGUCCUGUAGUGGGGGAUAGCCCGGCGAAAGCCGGAUUAAUACCGCAUACGAUCUACGGAUGAAAGCGGGGGCCCUUCGGGCCUCGCGCUAUAGGGUUGGCCGAUGGCUGAUUAGCUAGUUGGUGGGGUAAAGGCCUACCAAGGCGACGAUCAGUAGCUGGUCUGAGAGGACGACCAGCCAAACUGGGACUGAGACACGGCCCAGACUCCUACGGGAGGCAGCAGUGGGGAAUUUUGGACAAUGGGCGAAAGCCUGAUCCAGCAAUGCCGCGUGUGUGAAGAAGGCCUUCGGGUUGUAAAGCACUUUUGUCCGGAAAGAAAUCCUUGGCCCUAAUACGGUCGGGGGAUGACGGUACCGGAAGAAUAAACACCGGCUAACUACGU